UGGUGAAGUGAUUUGUCUGCUUAAUUGCGAUAACGAACGAGACCUUAACCUGCUAAAUAGCCCGUAUUGCUUUGGCAGUACGCUGGCUUCUUAGAGGGACUUUCGGCUCAAGCCGAAGGAAGUUUGAGGCAAUAACA
rnacentral:rRNA from 1 species